GUCACAGUGGCACACCUAUAGUCCCACCUACUUGGGAGGCUGAGACAAGAGGAUUGCUUGAGCCUAGGAGUUCUGGGCUAUACGGUGCUAUGCCAAUCAGUUGUCCACACUAAAUUUGGCUUCAGUAUGGUGACCUCCCCAGAGCAGAGGGCCACCGGGUUGCCUAAGGAGGAGUGAAAUGGCCCAUGUACAAAACAGAGGAGGUCAAAACUACCAUCCUGAUCAGUAGCGGGAUCAUGCCUAUGAUUAGCCAGAACACAACAGCAGAGCACACACAGCCAACACUGGAGACAC
ensembl:misc_RNA Metazoa_SRP Metazoan signal recognition particle RNA